rfam:Colletotrichum orchidophilum strain IMI 309357 Scaffold_43.1, whole genome shotgun sequence.
GGCCGGUUGGCCCAAUGGCAAGGCGUCUGACUACGACUCCCUCACAGGAACGUGUAAUCAGGAGAUUCUGGGUUCGACCCCCAGGCUGGUCA